UUAUAGGCCCACCCACCCCAACCCUCAUUCGCUCGCGCUCUCUGCUCCCACUCGUUCGCCGUCGUCGAUCGUCCACAUCUCCGACCGCCGCCGCCGCCGCGUCGCCAUGGUGUCCUGGAGUGAGGAUGAUGACAGCAGUGAGAAUGAUUACCAGUAUGCCACCUCAGGUUCAGACGACGGCAUCGUGAAGAUCCCUGCUACCACGGAUGACUCCGAAUUUGAGGGCACUGAAUUUUUUUGUGCCAUGAACACGAGAAGCGAGCAGAUAGACUUGUUGCUUUCGAGGGCAUCCAUACUGGCAAGAGGUUCCUUGCUUGUGCUGUGAAGGAUGGUAAAAACUGUGGACUAGUUGAAUGGAUUGAUCCAUCUUGGCCAGCUACAAUGGAGAAUGCACUGUCCAAGCUGUGGCAUAUGUAUGAAGAGUCCAAGAGAAACGGGACUAAGGACAAUCUGAUGAACUCAUUUGCUGUUCACAAACUGACACAAGAUAAGAUCAAGUUGCAGCCAAUUAUGAGAAGUUGGUUGAAGAUGUCCAAGCCCUUUUGGAUGAGAAUGAGAGAAGGGCCCAUAUGGAAAGUAAGCCUGAUGACAUCAAGCUCCAGGAGAAGUAUGACAUGGUUAAGAACCUGACAGUAGCUCAAGCCAGUGUCAUUAGGAACAUGAAGUUGAAGCUUGCUAAAGAGAAGAGUAAGUUGCAGGCCCACAUUGAUGACCUUGAAAAGGUUGUGGAGCAGACCAAAGUCAAGCUGAAUGGGAUCAAGGCAAUCUUAGAUGAAUGAGCCACACUGGGCAGUGAUGGUCAUGGAGUUCAUGGUCAUGUAUGGAUCUCCUUAUUAGUUAUGUAAUGGUCAUGUAUGGAUCUCCCAAUUAUGCUACUUAUUAGUUAUCUAAUGGUCAUGUAUGGAUCUCCAAUUAUGCUACUUAUUAGUUAGGUAAUGGUCAUGUAUGGAUCUCUCAAUUAUGCUACUUAUUAGUUAUGUAACGGUCAUGUAUGGAUCUCCCAAUUAUGCUACUUAUU